AGCAGCAGCCGCGGGAAUACGAAGGGUGCAAGCGUUACCCGGAAUUACUGGGCGUAAAGCGUGCGCAGGCGGUUUGUUAAGACAGAUGUGAAAUCCCCGGGCUCAACCUGGGAACUGCAUUUGUGACUGGCAAGCUAGAGUCUGGCAGAGGGGGGUGGAAUUCCGCGUGUAGCAGUGAAAUGCGUAGAUAUGCGGAGGAACACAGUGGCGAAGGCGGCCAUCUGGGACAACACUGACGCUGAGGCACGAAAGCGUGGGGAGCAAACAGGAUUAGAUACCCCCGUAGUCCCUGUCUCUUAUACA
rnacentral:rRNA from 1 species